rnacentral:rRNA from 1 species
UGCAAGUCGAACGAGAAAGUGGAGCUUGCUUCACAAGUACAGUGGCAGACGGGUGAGUAACACGUGAACAACCUACCCUCGAGUGGGGAAUAACACCGCGAAAGCGGUGCUAAUACCGCAUAACAUCUCUGAACCGCAUGGUUUUGAGAUCAAAAGCUUCGGUUGCUCGAGGAGGGGUUCGCGCCUGAUUAGCUUGUUGGUGAGGUAACGGCUCACCAAGGCUGCGAUCAGUAGCCGGCCUGAGAGGGUGACCGGCCACACUGGAACUGAGACACGGUCCAGACUCCUACGGGAGGCAGCAGUGGGGAAUUUUGCGCAAUGGGCGAAAGCCUGACGCAGCAACGCCGCGUGGAGGAUGAAGGCCUUCGGGUCGUAAACUCCUGUCAGUGGGGACGAAUGCUUCGCAAGAAGUUUGACUGUACCCGCUGAGGAAGCCACGGCUAACUCCGUGCCAGCAGCCGCGGUAAUACGGAGGUGGCAAGCGUUGUUCGGAAUUACUGGGCGUAAAGGGCGCGUAGGCGGCUUGGCAAGUCAGAUGUGAAAUCCCCGAGCUUAACUUGGGAAUUGCAUCUGAAACUGUCGAGCUUGAGUCCUGGAGGGGAUAGUGGAAUUCCCAGUGUAGCGGUGAAAUGCGUAGAUAUUGGGAGGAACACCUGCGGCGAAGGCGGCUAUCUGGACAGUGACUGACGCUGAGGCGCGAAAGCUAGGGGAGCGAACGGGAUUAGAUACCCCGGUAGUCCUAGCCGUAAACGAUGGGCACUUGGUGUUGGGGGUAUUGAGUCCCUCGGUGCCGGAGUUAACACGUUAAGUGCCCCGCCUGGGGAGUACGGUCGCAAGACUGA